rnacentral:rRNA from 1 species
GAUGAACGCUAGCUACAGGCUUAACACAUGCAAGUCGAGGGGCAGCAUGGUCUUAGCUUGCUAAGGCCGAUGGCGACCGGCGCACGGGUGAGUAACACGUAUCCAACCUGCCGUCUACUCUUGGACAGCCUUCUGAAAGGAAGAUUAAUACAAGAUGGCAUCAUGAGUCCGCAUGUUCACAUGAUUAAAGGUAUUCCGGUAGACGAUGGGGAUGCGUUCCAUUAGAUAGUAGGCGGGGUAACGGCCCACCUAGUCUUCGAUGGAUAGGGGUUCUGAGAGGAAGGUCCCCCACAUUGGAACUGAGACACGGUCCAAACUCCUACGGGAGGCAGCAGUGAGGAAGAUUGGUCAAUGGGCGCAGGCCUGAACCAGCCAAGUAGCGUGAAGGAUGACUGCCCUAUGGGUGGUAAACUUCUUUUAGAAAGGAAUAAAGUCGGGUAUGUAUACCCGUUUGCAUGUACUUUAUGAAUAAGGAUCGGCUAACUCCGUG